UACGUAGGGUGCGAGCGUUGUCCGGAAUUAUUGGGCGUAAAGGGCUCGUAGGCGGUCUGUCGCGUCGGGAGUGAAAACUCAGGGCUUAACCCUGAGCCUGCUUCCGAUACGGGCAGACUAGAGGUAUGCAGGGGAGAACGGAAUUCCUGGUGUAGCGGUGGAAUGCGCAGAUAUCAGGAAGAACACCGAUGGCGAAGGCAGUUCUCUGGGCCGUAACUGACGCUGAGGAGCGAAAGCGUGGGGAGCGAACAGG
rnacentral:rRNA from 1 species